AUCGAGCGGGUACAGGUGACUGUAUCCUCUCUCCUUGCUGUAUUACGCCCUUGUUUUUCAAUUUCUAUUUGUUUCCUCGGCAGGAUUUCCUGCCGGUUGGAUAAAACUAUAACCUUUUUUUAUCUUCAAUCANCGUCUGAACAAGUUAAUAAUUACAACUUUCAACAACGGAUCUCUUGGUUCUGGCAUCGAUGAAGAACGCAGCGAAAUGCGAUAAGUAGUGUGAAUUGCAGAAUUCAGUGAAUCAUCGAAUCUUUGAACGCACAUUGCGCCCCUUGGUAUUCCAUGGGGCAUGCCUGUUCGAGCGUCAUUUGUACCUUCAAGCUCUGCUUGGUGUUGGGUGUUUGUCCUUGCUCCUAGGGAGUAGGACUCGCCUUGAAGUAAUUGGCAGCCAGUGUUUUGGUUUGAAGCGCAGCACAAGUCGCGAUUUAAGCUGAAUCAAUAGCUCUCCAUUAAGACAUCUAUCACUUUUGACCUCGGAUCAGGUAGGGAUACCCGCUGAACUUAAGCAUAUCAAUAAGCGG
rnacentral:rRNA from 1 species